rnacentral:misc_RNA from 1 species
AAUGAAGUCGGUGGACUACAAAGGAUUAACGAGUAGCCUUUCGCCAUAGCUUGGUAGCGUUAUCACGUGCACACAUAAUCGUGUGUACGUGUGACGUGCUGGAAAGAGCGGAAGCGUCCAAGAAGGACACUGGAAACUCCCUUUUCGACGAUACGAUGUAAUGCAAAAGUUUGACAGCAGGCGAGAACUCGUCUUGCUAUGCCUCCCAACUAUCCCUCUAAUCCGAUUAAUCUAGAGAAACAGAGGAACACGCGCGUGCGAGCGAGCUGCACGCUUUGCAUACGUCUGCCCGAAUCGAUAUGCAUAAUGCAUGCAUCGUAAAAGAGAGAGAGAGAGAGAGAGAAGAUAGAGAAAGAGGAAUGGAAGGCGACGUCGAUUCAUCGUUGAGCAAGCAACUGUUCGGAUUUCAUUUUCGCGCCUAUCCUAUCCUAUGUCAUAUAUAUUGGCACGUGUGGCCAAUAAAAAUUGCCAGCGGAAUUUUUCUUCGUUCGUAAUGCAGCUCCGGAGAAAGGCAACUGGAAGGUGUAUCGUUCGAGCGUGACUCGAAAUUGUAAUAUCGAAAUCGUUAAACUGGCUAAUUAUCUUCGUUAAUUAUUUCAUCUAUUGUUAUUUUAUUCUUAAUCCUUGUCUUGCGGCUUAAGAUCGUUUCU